rnacentral:rRNA from 1 species
UACGAAGGGGGCUAGCGUUGCUCGGAAUCACUGGGCGUAAAGCGCACGUAGGCGGGUCUUUAAGUCGGGGGUGAAAUCCUGGAGCUCAACUCCAGAACUGCCUUCGAUACUGAGGAUCUUGAGUCCGGGAGAGGUGAGUGGAACUGCGAGUGUAGAGGUGAAAUUCGUAGAUAUUCGCAAGAACACCAGUGGCGAAGGCGGCUCACUGGCCCGGUACUGACGCUGAGGUGCGAAAGCGUGGGGAGCAAACAGG